CGCCUACGGGGGGCUGCAGUGGGGAAUAUUGGACAAUGGGGGAAACCCUGAUCCAGCAAUGCCGCGUGAGUGAUGAAGGCCUUCGGGUUGUAAAGCUCUUUUGUCAGGGACGAUGAUGACGGUACCUGACGAAUAAGCUCCGGCUAACUUCGUGCCAGCAGCCGCGGUAAUACGAGGGGAGCUAGCGUUGUUCGGAAUUACUGGGCGUAAAGGGCGUGUAGGCGGUACCAUAAGUCAGAUGUGAAAGCCCUAGGCUUAACCUAGGAGGUGCAUUUGAUACUGGGGAACUAGAGAUCGAGAGAGGAAAGUGGAAUUACGAGUGUAGAGGUGAAAUUCGUAGAUAUUCGUAAGAACACCAGUGGCGAAGGCGACUUUCUGGCUCGAUACUGACGCUAAGGCGCGAAAGCGUGGGGAGCAAACAGGAUUAGAUACCCCUGUAGUCUC
rnacentral:rRNA from 1 species